rnacentral:lncRNA from 1 species
AGUCAAGAGAGAAAUUCUUCACAAGAAAGGGGAAGGUGGUCUUGUUUAUUCCAGAAUGUGCCUCAGGAACUCUUUUUGCCCAGUUCUUCAUGUUGAAGUAUCCAGCAAAUCUUCCUUGAACACCAUCUUCUCAGACAGAACAUGCCUGAUCCCUCUGUCUGGAACAAGCUUCAGUUUUUAUUUGCAAUACAACCACCAGCCCGUUUGUUCUCUUCGUGACAUAAACAACAAUAUGUGAUUAUUUCUUGUGUUGGUUUUCUUUUCCUACCAGAAUAAAAAC